rnacentral:rRNA from 1 species
AUUGAACGCUGGCGGCAGGCCUAACACAUGCAAGUCGAGCGAGCGGCGGACGGGUGAGUAAUGUCUGGGAAACUGCUUGCUGGAGGGGGAUAACUACUGGAAACGGUAGCUAAUACCGCAUACCAUCAGAUGUGCCCAGAUGGGAUUAGCUAGUAGGUGGGGUAACGGCUCACCACGGCGACGAGCCCUAGCUGGGCUGAGAGGAUGACCAGCCACACUGGAACUGAGACACGUUCCAGACUCCUACGUGAGGCAGCAGUGGGGAAUAUUGGACAAUGGGCGCGAGCCUGAUGCAGCCAUGCCGCGUGUGUGAAUAAGGCCUUCGGGUGGUAAAGCACUUUCAGCGGGGAGGCGUUACCCGCAGAAGAAGCACCGGCUAACUCCGUGCCAGCAGCCGCGGUAAUAC